rnacentral:rRNA from 1 species
AUGAACGCUGGCGGCGUGCCUAAUACAUGCAAGUCGAGCGAACAGACGAGGAGCUUGCUCCUCUGACGUUAGCGGCGGACGGGUGAGUAACACGUGGAUAACCUACCUAUAAGACUGGGAUAACUUCGGGAAACCGGAGCUAAUACCGGAUAAUAUAUUGAACCGCAUGGUUCAAUAGUGAAAGACGGUUUUGCUGUCACUUAUAGAUGGAUCCGCGCCGCAUUAGCUAGUUGGUAAGGUAACGGCUUACCAAGGCAACGAUGCGUAGCCGACCUGAGAGGGUGAUCGGCCACACUGGAACUGAGACACGGUCCAGACUCCUACGGGAGGCAGCAGUAGGGAAUCUUCCGCAAUGGGCGAAAGCUUGACGGAGCAACGCCGCGUGAGUGAUGAAGGUCUUCGGAUCGUAAAACUCUGUUAUUAGGGAAGAACAAAUGUGUAAGUAACUAUGCACGUCUUGGCGGUACCUAAUCAGAAAGCCACGGCUAACUACGUG